rnacentral:rRNA from 1 species
GACUAUGGCCUUACCACCCUGAACAAGCCCGAGCCCGUCUGAUCUCGGAAGCUAAGCAGGGUCGGGCCUGGUUAGUACUUGGAUGGGAGACCACCUAGGAAGACCAGGUGCUGUAGGCG